UCCAGGUGGAGGACAUUAGCGGAGAUAACAGGCAACUCGUCGGAGAUCAGUUUGGCAAAGUAAAAUGGUUCGUAAGUGUGUAUUUCCUAAUUGUGAAAACAAAAUGUGGUGUAAUAGCCGCAGCUUUCAUCGACUGCCAUACAAAUAUCCGGAUAUAAUGAAGUUAUGGCUAGUUGUACUGAAAAUGGAUGAAAACACACCAGUUGAUAGCCUGCACCUCGCCGAUCAUCAUGUUUGCAGUGAUCAUUUCGAUCAAGAGGAUUACCUACCGACCAAGGAGGGACAAUCUAAACUUUUCCUGAAGAGAAAUGCUAUUCCCAAGGGGAUACCUGAUGCAGACCGAGUGGAGGGAGCUGAAGGUGGUGACUCGCCCAAGGAAUCAGACUUUGCUGCAGUCCCACAUUCCACCCCUACAAAGAUGGAUGAAAGAGGAGAUGAUGAGCCCCCAACAACUGGAUGUAGGCUUCUUCUUACAAGUCCACAACAGACGAUGCCUUGUAUGAAGCCAUCUACAUCUGGCCCAUAUCUUGCACUGCCUCCAAUUCGGGCAGAACCAGUGGGAGCUGAUGGUGGUGACACGACCAAGGAAUCAGACUUUGCUACAGUCCCACAUUCCACCCCUACAAAGAUGGAUGAAAGAGGAGAUGAGCCCACAAAAACCGGACAGAGGCUUCUUCUUCUCGUCCACAACAGACGAUGCCUCAUAGGAAGCCAUCUUCAUCUGGCUCAUAUUUAGCACUGCCUCCAAUUCGGGCACAACCAGUGGACUUGACUGCUCCAACUAAGAAUACAUGGACUGUCCAAACUACAUCCAAUGUAGAUGUCCCACAGACUCAACAUGAAGAUGCAGCAGAAAUGAGCGAACUGAGCAUGAACUUUGGGGAAAUGGACAUAGUGGAUCCCAAGGACAGCAGUUAUGUCACUCCUAGCACCAGCUCAUCCUCCACCACUGGAUCAGCCACAACAAGCUCACAGGGAGAUGGGCUGAGAAAAAGUGGCUUGUAAAUGAAUCCAAACUGAUGGAACUUUUUCAAAGAUGUAACCAAUGUGGGUGCGUUAUUUCUGCGAAAAAAGUCACAUCAAGAGGCAGCCAAAUAAAAAUUGACUGGUCGUGUCUAAAUGGCCACUCGGACAAGUGGGCCUCAUGUCCUGAUGUCAGAGGGAUGGCGGAAAACAACUUGCUCUUCUGCGCAGCAACAAUAUUUACUGGAGCAACAUACACUAGCAUAGCUGAGUGGGCGAAACUAAUGAACGUGGAAAUUCCCAAACCAACACAAUUUUACUCUAUUCAAUCCACAUACCUCGUACCUGUUAUACAGUAUGCAUACAAAGAUCAACACGACAAAAUCUUAGUGCGCCUCCGUGGAAUUGGAAAGAGUGUGGAUUUAUGUGGUGAUGCCAGAUGUGAUAGUCCUGGUUUCAGAAGCAUCCAGCUCAGUAGCCAUGGAAGCGAUAGGUUUCAAGAGGGGGCUCAACUACCUACUUCAUAUGGGCGUAGAUGUUGGCGUUAUCACCACAGAUAGGUCGCCAUCCAUCCGUAAGAUCAUGAGGGAAGAUUACAGUGAUAUUCACCAUGAAUUGGACCCCUGGCAUGUACACAAGAGUAAGUAAUAAUUUUUUUUCAAAUUAGGUGUGAUGAAGAAACUUGUGACAGCAUCAAAUAAAAAGGACAACCAAGAUCUGCGACCCUGGCUGAAAUAUGUAUCCAACCACCUCUACUGGUCAUGCAGCUCAGCAAAUGGGGAUCCUGAGAAAUGUCUGCAACGAUGGAGGUCACUGCUCCAUCACAUCUGUGGUGUGCAUAGAUGGGAGGAGGAUGGUGUAGAGCAUGUCUGUCAUCACCCGGCCAUGACAGAGGAGCAACAAAGAAAGAAUUGGCUUCAAGUUGAAUCCUCUGCUUUCAAGGCUCUCAACUCUGUAGUGAUGGACAACAAUCUCCUGCGAGACUUGAAAC